GUGCUCACUUCAACAGCACAUAUACUAAAAAUGGAAUGAUACGGUGAAGAUUAGCACAGCCCCUGCGCAAGGAUGACACACAAAUUCAUGAAGUGUUCCAUAUUUAA
rnacentral:snRNA from 1 species